rnacentral:rRNA from 1 species
GACGAACGCUGGCGGCGUGCUUAACACAUGCAAGUCGAGCGGUAAGGCCCUUUCGGGGGUACACGAGCGGCGAACGGGUGAGUAACACGUGAGCAAUCUGCCCUUCACUUCGGGAUAACCACCGGAAACGGUGGCUAAUACCGGAUAUGACUGCCUUGGGCAUCCGGGGGGGUGGAAAGUUUUUUCGGUGGAGGAUGAGCUCGCGGCCUAUCAGCUUGUUGGGGGGGUGAUGGCCUACCAAGGCGACGAAGGGUAGCCGGCCUGAGAGGGUGACCGGCCACACUGGGACUGAGAAACGGCCCAGACUCCUACGGGAGGCAGCAGUGGGGAAUAUUGGAAAAUGGGCGGAAGCCUGAUCCAGCAACGCCGCGUGAGGGAUGACGGCCUUCGGGUUGUAAACCUCUUUCAGUACCGACGAAGCGCGAGUGACGGUAGGUACAGAAGAAGCCCCGGCCAACUACGUGCCAGCCGCCGCCGUAACAC